UAGAGAUGUGUGAUGACGCAUAUCAAUAAGCGGAGGAAAAGAAACUAACAAGGAUUCCCCUAGUAACGGCGAGUGAAGCGGGAAGAGCUCAAAUUUGAAAUCUUCAAGGGUUUCCCUUGACGAAUUGUAGUUUAAAGAAGUGUUUUCUGUUAGAGAGGUGGUAAAAGUUCUUUGGAAUAGGACAUCAUAGAGGGUGAGAAUCCCGUAUUUGAUCACUUUCUACUAACGUUGUGAUACACUUUCAAAGAGUCGGAUUGUUUGGGAAUGCAGUCCAAAAUGGGUGGUAAAUUUCAUCUAAAGCUAAAUAUUGGCGAGAGACCGAUAGCGAACAAGUACCGUGAGGGAAAGAUGAAAAGAACUUUGAAAAGAGAGUUAAACAGUACGUGAAAUUGUCAAAAGGGAAGCGUUUGACACCAGUGUUGUUUUUCCGAAAAUCAAUUACGAAUGUUUUGUUUUUGAGGAGUUAUGACUUCAUCGGCUUGCUUCUCUCUUUAUGAAACUUUCUUAAUGCACUUUUCGGUUAACAAGUCAACAUCAAUUUCUUUUGUUGUAAAAGGGUAUGAGGAAGGUGGCUUUCUUUUCGGAGAAAGUGUUUAUAGCCUUGUACCUCUGCAAUCGGAGAGAUUGAGGUCUGCAGCGUAGAUCCUUCGGGGUUAGAUACAUUUGUGCUAAGUUAUAGCUUUUCAUAGACAACUUGUUGACUAUGUUUAGUCUUGUAGCUUACUCGCUUAUGCUAUUUUACCUACGCUUAGGAUGUUGAAGAUGUAGCACAUCAU
rnacentral:rRNA from 1 species